rnacentral:rRNA from 1 species
CUCCCAACCCCUGUGACAUACCACUUGUUGCCUCGGCGGAUCAGCCCGCUCCCGGUAAAACGGGACGGCCCGCCAGAGGACCCCUAAACUCUGUUUCUAUAUGUAACUUCUGAGUAAAACCAUAAAUAAAUCAAAACUUUCAACAACGGAUCUCUUGGUUCUGGCAUCGAUGAAGAACGCAGCAAAAUGCGAUAAGUAAUGUGAAUUGCAGAAUUCAGUGAAUCAUCGAAUCUUUGAACGCACAUUGCGCCCGCCAGUAUUCUGGCGGGCAUGCCUGUUCGAGCGUCAUUUCAACCCUCAAGCACAGCUUGGUGUUGGGACUCGCGUUAAUUCGCGUUCCCCAAAUUGAUUGGCGGUCACGUCGAGCUUCCAUAGCGUAGUAGUAAAACCCUCGUUACUGGUAAUCGUCGCGGCCACGCCGUUAAACCCCAACUUCUGAAUGUUGACCUCGGAUCAGGUAGGAAUACCCGCUGAACUUAAGCAUAUCAAUAAGCGGAGGAAAAGAAAUUA